AAACGAUGUCUACUUGGAGGUUGUGGCCUGAGCCGUGGCUUUCGGAGCUAACGCGUUAAGUAGACCGCCUGGGGAGUACGGUCGCAAGAUUAAAACUCAAAUGAAUUGACGGGGGCCCGCACAAGCGGUGGAGCAUGUGGUUUAAUUCGAUGCAACGCGAAGAACCUUACCUACUCUUGACAUCCAGAGAACUUUUCAGAGAUGAAUUGGUGCCUUCGGGAACUCUGAGACAGGUGCUGCAUGGCUGUCGUCAGCUCGUGUUGUGAAAUGUUGGGUUAAGUCCCGCAACGAGCGCAACCCUUAUCCUUGUUUGCCAGCGAGUAAUGUCGGGAACUCCAGGGAGACUGCCGGUGAUAAACCGGAGGAAGGUGGGGACGACGUCAAGUCAUCAUGGCCCUUACGAGUAGGGCUACACACGUGCUACAAUGGCGCAUACAGAGGGCAGCAAGCUAGCGAUAGUGAGCGAAUCCCAAAAAGUGCGUCGUAGUCCGGAUUGGAGUCUGCAACUCGACUCCAUGAAGUCGGAAUCGCUAGUAAUCGUGGAUCAGAAUGCCACGGUGAAUACGUUCCCGGGCCUUGUACACACCGCCCGUCACACCAUGGGAGUGGGCUGCAAAAGAAGUAGGUAGUUUAACCUUCG
rnacentral:rRNA from 1 species